rnacentral:rRNA from 1 species
UACGUAGGGCGCAAGCGUUGUCCGGAAUUAUUGGGCGUAAAGAGCUCGUAGGCGGUCUGUUACGUCCGCUGUGAAAACCCAGGGCUUAACCCUGGGCUUGCAGUGGAUACGGGUAGACUAGAGGCAGGUAGGGGAGAAUGGAAUUCCCGGUGUAGCGGUGAAAUGCGCAGAUAUCGGGAGGAACACCCGUGGCUAAGGCGGCUCUCUAGUACGGUACUGACGCUGAGACGCGAAAGCGUGGGGAGCGAACAGG